UGUUUGAUUCUGGCUCAGGGCGAACGCUGGCGGCGUGCCUUAGACAUGCAAGUCGAGCGGUAGGCGUCCUUCGGGGCGCCGGGAGCGGCGAACGGCGGAGUAACACGUGGGUAACCUGCCCCGAAGACUGGGACAACUCGGGGAAACUCGGGCUAAUACCGGAUGUGGAUGCGCGGGCUUCGGCUUGGGCAUCUAAACGGGUUUCCGCUUCGGGAUGGGCCCGCGGCCUAUCAGGUUGUUGGUGAGGUAACGGCUCACCAAGCCGACGACGGGUAGCCGGUCUGAGAGGAUGAUCGGCCCGAGGGGCACUGAGACACGGGCCCCACUCCUACGGGAGGCAGCAGUCGGGAAUUUUGGGCAAUGGGCGCAAGCCUGACCCAGCGACGCCGCGUGGAGGACGAAGCCCUUCGGGGUGUAAACUCCUUUUAGUGGGGACGAACGCAGACGGUACCCACAGAAAAAGCCCCG
rnacentral:rRNA from 1 species